GGGUUACCACUACAUGCUCCUAGAUAUCACUGGUGGAUCGUGAGACCCACAAAAAUUAAUUGAUGGUCAAUAAUUUUCAUUAGAUGAGUUGGAAGUAUUUCAAUCCAUUGAAAGAGAUUUCAAUGAUAUUCAUGAUGGAGAUCAUGAUAUAUCUCACUAUUAGACAUAAUAGAAUCUAUAAAGUCACACAUAAAAAAAAUUUUGAUUUAAUCAAAUAAUCUAAUU
rnacentral:lncRNA from 1 species